GCAUGCGUUCACAUCCACAGCACAUUCAUCAUGCUGCAAUGAGAGCAGUGUGUUCUCAUUAGAGCCGCCGCUGAAGCUACACACCAAAGCAAACAAGACUUCCUCAGUCCUUAAAAACUUGCCAACUUAUCUCUGGCAAAUUUCAACGCUCUGAAAAGGUGCCUGCAAGAAUUACCGUCGCCUGAAAUGCAAUUCUCAGCCACAGCUGGCCAAGACAAACCGGCUUGAAAGGAAACCGGCUGGGAAAUACUCCACCGCAACACUGCUUUCCAGCCUUCAUAAAAGAGUGCAGAUCAAAUUUACAUAAGAAGAUUGGUUUGAAGAUUGGAGCUCACGGAACAAGGGGAAGAAGAGAAAUUUAAAUGAGGAAGCCUGAUUUGAAGAUCUUUCU